rnacentral:rRNA from 1 species
AACGAACGCUGGCGGCGCGCCUAAUACAUGCAAGUCGAGCGAGAAGACGUAGCAAUACGUUUGUAAAGCGGCGAACGGGUGAGGAAUACAUGGGUAACCUACCCUCGAGUGGGGAAUAACUAGCCGAAAGGUUAGCUAAUACCGCGUACGCUCCUUGGACUUCGGUUCAGGGAGGAAAGCGAUACCGUGGGUAUCGCGCUCUUGGAUGGGCUCAUGUCCUAUCAGCUUGUUGGUGAGGUAACGGCUCACCAAGGCUUCGACGGGUAGCUGGUCUGAGAGGACGAUCAGCCACACUGGCACUGCGACACGGGCCAGACUCCUACGGGAGGCAGCAGUAAGGAAUAUUGCGCAAUGGGCGAAAGCCUGACGCAGCGACGCCGCGUGGGGGAUGAAGGUCUUCGGAUUGUAAACCCCUUUCGGGAGGGAAGAUGGAACGAGCAAUCGUUCGGACGGUACCUCCAGAAGCAGCCACGGCUAACUUCGUGCCAGCAGCCGCCGUAAC